CAUAUAUUAUAUUUAAUAUUGAUAUAAGUUAUUGGUUGGAAAUAAAGAUUUUUAAAUUCAAUUAUAUGUUAUUAUUUCAGGACCCUGAAUGUACUGGACUUCCAGUAGUAACUCUCUGGCAAAAUGACUUUGAUUCAGUACUGUUGCCAGUACCAGGAGUUGAAAUAGAGUUCAUUACUGCUAACUUCACAAACACAUCCCUGGCUGGAAACCUAACUACAGAGAUAAAUGGGACUGGCUUUGAAAUACACGAUACUGAUCCCAUCGAGAGUGUACAACUUUUGCCUGCUGAUGAAACUAGUUUAGAAGUAACCAGAAAAAAUGCAAACAUUGUAGCAUCUACAAGCCAUGAUAUUCUUCAGGGAGAAGAAAAUAUUAGUGAGGAGGAAAUGUUAGUUCACCAAAAUGCUGAUACCGAUUCAGACUUCGCACCUAAACCACCCG